UCUUUAACAUGUGAAGGAAACGCAGGCUGGAAGUCACAAAGAGAGCAGGGGUCCCCAUUUCCCAGCAUCCUGUGGAGAGGUGUGCUUGCACCAGGUCAGAGCUAGACGAAUGUGCUUCAGUAGGUUUUUUUGAAGGGUGUGGUAGUGCACCUUGCUAGUCUCUGUUCAGAUCUUCUCAAAUGCGUUCUAACAGUUCUGUACCCUCCUUCUUCAGUGUCAUUGUGCUUUUGGUUCAUACAGUCCAUACUGUAAGACUCCUCUUCAUCCGACAACCCUUGGACUACUAGAGUUGUCUUCCCAGAAGCACAAAGGGCAAAAAGUGCUUGGGAGGUCACAUCCCACCAACUCCUCACCUUCCCCCACCAAUAACAAACAGCUGAGAGCUUGUCUUGCCUUUGCACAGAACAAAUCUGAGAAGUAACUUAGACUCCAGAGUUUUUCUGUAGGAUCAAGCUAAAGCUACUCUUCUCCAGACUUCAUCAAGGAUCACAUCUUUGCUUGUCUUCUUCUCCUUCUCUGACUUGCUUUUCCCCACUCCUUUAUAUGUUUCUCUAGGAAGAGUUCUAUAGUGAAUCACUUGCACAAGAUAAUCUUUAAUCUUGGGUUAGGAUCUAUUUUCCGAUAACUUGACUUCAAACAUGGGGCAAGUGUGGAAGCCAACUCUUACCUGCAGAUUUAUUUGGUCACCAGGCUUUCUGACCUUAGUGUCAGCAGUUUUCAGUUGUGAAAUAGCAGCUGCUGAGCACAUGGAAAUCUGGGGAAGCCAUGGGAGGUUUGGUAGGUGUAUUAGUUAUCUUUUGCUUGUAACAAAUUACCCCAAACUUAACAGUUUAAACAAUGCACAUUCAUAAUCUUACAGUGUCUGUGUGUCAGGAAUCACAGCACAAUUUAACUAAGUCUUCUUCUUUAGGGUCUCCCAUGAAACUAUAAUCAAAGUAUCAGACUGGACUGCAGUCACACUGGGGUUUAACAAGGUUUUUCACUUGUUAGGAUGGAGUGGCAACUUUCAACUCCUUACAUGCCAAAUCAGAAACCAGAAGUCCCCCAAUGAAUUUCGUCCAGAACAGGAACUACUUCGCCAUCUUGGAUCCUGGAGGGAAAACCUGGCUGAAGAGACUCAUUUUAGAGAUAUUACAAGAAGGAGAAAUCAUCUUUGUUACUGUAAAGUGCUGAUAUUUGGGGGUUGUAUGUUAACACAGCCCAACCUAGCCAAAAUGUACUGAUAUAUGUCGUAUGUGGGAUAUGGCAAUGAUAAAAAUAGAAUGGUUUUCAGGUCAAAGGAGUGUCUUCUAAUGAUGUAGACAUGUUUUCUUGUUACAGCCUGGGGUGUUAAAUGUAUCUUUACUAAUUGUUCUCUCAUAUCUCUUGUGAUUGAGAACAGAUGGCUGUGAUGAUUUUCAGAUGAUGUUCUGAUGAUCUGGGAAACAUUGAGCAAUCUUUAAUCAUCUUGAAAUUUUUAAGAAAUAAUUUCUUAUUUAUCAAAAAAAAUGAGCUGCAAGAUGUUUUUCCUUCAAGAAUGACUUAGCAUAGAAAGCACCCAUGAUUAAGGCUAACAAAUAAGACAGUACAAUUUAAGUAUUCUGAUUUCAAGUGCAUUUUCUUUCCUAGCAAUGUAUAAAAAUCUGUCUUGCAAAAAUAUAAAUUUUGAAUAUCAAGCAGUUACUGAAUAAAAGAUCAGAGACAGGCAGAGUUCAAUGUUAUAACAUUCAAAUAGAUACAUGUAAAAUUAAAAUUGUAAUUUGAGGAAAAGUAUUUAGUAAAAGUAAUUAAAGCUUUACUCAGUAAUAUCUUCAAGGUUACUCUUUUGUCAGAAAAAUAUGUAUAAUACAUUGAAAAACACAUUAUGUUUUUGAAUUUAAAGCUUUUUUCUUAUCAUAUAAAUAAGUGGAGAUAAUUUGAAAUGUAAAGUAAAAAAGAAGGCUGGGUGUGGUGCCUCACGCCUGUAAUCCCAGCAGUUUAGGAUGCCAAGGCGGGGGAACACUCGAGGUCAGGGGUUCAAAACCAGCCUGACCAACAUGGUAAAACCUGUCUCUACUAAACAAUACAAAAAUUAGCCGGAUAGGUGGCAGAUGCCUGUAAUCCCAGCUACUCGGGAGGCUGAGGCAGGAGAAUCACUUGAACUUGAGAGGCAGAGGUUGCAGUGAGCCAAGAUCGCACCACUGCACUCCAGCCUGGGUGACAGUGUGAAACUCCAUCUCAAAAAAAAAAAAAAAAAAAAAAAAAAAAAAAAAAAAAAACAAGAAGAGGAAGAAGGAAGAAGGAGGAAAGAAAGCCAUAUAUGAAUUUAUUGACUCAGAAGUUUUUGACCUCACUCAAUAUUUGGAGCCAGUUGUUUGGUCUGUCUAUAUUAUAUCCAUGGCUAUAUCUGUCUAGGGUUUUAUAAAAUUUAGAUCAUACAUUAUAGACAACUGUAUAUUCUGGAUGUUUUGUCAUUAGGAGUGAUUUCUUUUUCUCAUAUAUUCUUAGAAAAUAUAUUUUACUAGUUUUAUAGUAAUUGCCAUAAAAGAGAAAUUUACUAAAUCACUGCCCUAUUUAGACACUUUUUUUUGCUAAGGUGCUAUUAAAAACAAUUAUUUCCCCUUUUUAGUCACAUGAAUGUUAUUCCCACUGUGUGUGUUAUUGAAUGACUAGACUACUGAUUCAUAUUGAUAAAUUGCUGUCUAGAAAUUUAUUCCAAUUUUCUACCCAUCUUGUAUAUGCAUAAAAGUAUUAUUUUAAUAUAUAUUCAUGAGAGACAUAGAUUUUGCUUUCAUUUCUACAUUUUGCUGGCUUUUUAGUAAAAAAAAAGUUUUCUUUUAUUGUAUUUAUGUAUAUUCCUCCUACUUUUUCCACUAAUCUGUCACAUUGCAUUCAUCAAAUACUAAAGUCUUCUUUGUAAUAAGGUCUAAUUCUGUGUUUUCUAUUGUCUCAUUGAUCUAUAUAGACCAUAAUUGUCUAUAUUAUGGAUCCUCUAUUUUUAGAUUAUUUUUCAUUUAAAUAGUGAUAAUUGUAGUUGAAGUUUCUUGAGCUCUUAGUAUAUGUUAGUAAUUCGGCUAAGCAUACAAAUCUAACGUUACUAGUUACAUACAUUAGAGUGACUUUUUUCCUCAAGGGAUUAAACUUUCAUUAUUAUCUAAUGACCUACUCUUGGUAGUAUUGUCUUAUAAGUUAAAUUUUGUAUACUAGUGACAUAGUUAAACAAGUUUGUUUUCAUGGUAAAUAUUAGCCCAAUUUAUCUUUUUUAUAUUUUUACUUACAAUAAAUCCUUGCUAUUUUGUUUUAAGUUUAGGCCUUGAAAUCAACAUAUUGCUAGAUUUUUUAAAACAUCCAAUCUAACAGUCUCUAUCUUUGACUGAAAAGUUCAGUCAAUUUUUGAGUAUUAUUAUUAUAAUUCAUAUUUUUAGGAUUUUUAUAUUAUGCUAGUGAACUCAGGGUGUCCUUCUUCUUGCUUUUUAAAAAAAUUCUUCAUUUUUAAAAUUUAUCUUAUAUUUUUUCUAUUCUUAUUAUUUACUCACUAAGAAUACAGGCAUUAUUUCUAAUAAUAUUAACUUUGCUAUUUUCUUUAUUGUAAAUAUAAAUAAGCAAUAUGCAAUAUCUUAACUCUUCCUCAAAGCCCAAAUUAACCCCACAAAGCAGCAUAAUUUGUUAUGUAUUUGUAUUAAAAUGCUCAUUUGCCCUUUUGUGUCCAUAUUCA
rnacentral:lncRNA from 1 species